rnacentral:misc_RNA from 1 species
AAAAAACUCUCUCUCCUCUUCACAAAAUCAUCGCGACUUCUCUAGAAAUUCAAAAUUCAAUUUCUCUUUAAAAAAAAGGGUUUAAAUAUUCAUCAUUGUAAUUAUAAUUGUAAUAUUCAUAGAUCAAAAUUUAAGUUUCGAGAAGUGAUUUUGAUCGUUUGGUUAUUUGGCGAUUUUAUUUGUUUAUUUGAGAAAAAUAGAGAUGGAAGUAGAGUCGCCGGAAAGAGGGAAGAUAGGUGGAGUAGCGAUAGAAAUUCCGGCGAGUGAUGACGGAGCAACGAUAUGGUCGCCGCCGAGGGUUCCACCUAGGCUUCUUCAAAAGUUAUCGGAGCCGAAAACUUCUUCUCCUACUGCUGAAGAAAUUGAGGCUAAGCUUCGUGGCGCCGAUCUUCGUCGACAGAAAUUCUAUGAGUAUCUAUCAAGCAAAGCCAGACCAAAGCCCAGAAGCCCCUCACAGUCUCCAACUCAUGGAGAAGAUCUUGGACAGCGUCUUGAGGCUAAACUUCAGGCUGCUGAGGAGAAAAGGAUGAGCAUUCUAGCACAGGCUAAGUUGCGUCUGGCAAAAUUAGAUGAGUUAAGGCAGGCAGCUAAAACUGGAGCAGAAAUGCGCUUCAGACAGGAACGAGCUGAACUGGGUACAAAGGUUGAGUUGCGUGUACAGCAGGCUGAGGUAAACAGGAUGCUUCUCCUAAAAGCUAAUCGCCAAAGGAGGGCCACGCUGAGGGAGAGGACAUCUCAAUCAUUACUUCGCCGAAUGGCUCGUGAGAGCAAGUAUAAAGAGCGAGUGCGUGCCGCAAUCUUUCAAAAGCGUGCAGCUGCUGAGAAGAAGAGGAUGGGAUUGCUAGAAGCUGAAAAGAGGAGGGCAUGUGCUAGAGUCAUGCAAGUGCGUAAUGUUGUGAAGUCCAUUUCUCACCAGGAAGAGGUCAAAAGAAGGGAGAUGCAAACUAAAAUAGAAGACAAGCUGCAAAGGGCAAAGAGACAAAGAGAAGAAUAUUUGAUGCAGAGAGGAAAAGCACAUAAUUCCUUUUGUGACAGUUAUGAUGAGAUACAUGACCAGGCUGACCUGCUAUCAAGGAAAUUAGCAAGGUGUUGGAAGCAGUUCCUUACACGUGGAAAGACAACCUUCCACCUUGCAAAAGCUUAUACUAUGCUGAGUAUUAACGAGAAUGCAGUUAAGGUAAUGCCAUUUGAGCAGCUAGCAAUGAAGAUUGAAUCGCCUAAUACACUACAGAGAACUAAAGGUUUGCUUGAUCGGCUUGAGCUUCGCUUCAAAUUGUUGCGUGAUGUUGACAGUGUGACAAGUACCAUUGGUUGGGGUAAUAUUGAUCAUCUUCUCAACCGAGUAGCUACACCCAAAAAGAAGGCUACACCAAGGAGAUCUCUGCACAGUCGUGGUGCAAAAAAAAUAGUAUCGAACUUACCAGCAGUGACAACUCCAGUCAAGUUGUUGAGGUAUCCAGUUCGAAUCGUGCUGUGUGCAUAUAUGAUUCUUGGUCAUCCUGAUGCAGUGUUCAGUGGUAAAGGGGAGCGUGAGAUCGCCCUGGCCAAAUCUGCUGAAAAAUUUGUCAGAGAGUUUGAACUGCUGGUAAGGGUAAUAUUGAAUGGCUCCAUCCAGACUUCCGAUGGGGAUUCUGAUUGCGGAUUGGCAAGGCGCAGGACCUUCAAGUCGCAGCUCACAGAGUUUGAUUCAGCAUGGUGCUCUUACUUGAAUAGCUUUGUGGUGUGGAAGGUUAAAGAUGCCCAGUCUUUAGAGGAGGAUUUGGUUAGAGCUGCUUGCCAGCUUGAACUCUCCAUGAUUCAAAUAUGUCGGAUCACUGCUGAAGGAGAUGGUGGUGCUCUUACUCACGAUCUGAAGGCUAUCCAGAAACAGGUGAAUGAAGAUCAGAGACUUUUAAGAGAGAAAGUGCUUAAUAUUAGUGGAGGUGCUGGUAUUGAACGGAUGGAUAAUGCAAUUUCUGACACACGAAACAAAUACUUUGAAGCUAAAGAAAAUGGGAGUCCUGUGGGCUCUCCAAUUAUGCAGUCGGUAGCUCCAAGCCCAAUUGCUCUGACAAGCGCCUCUUCUUCUGUUGGGGGUUCAAAUAAAGGAGGGAAUUUGCUUGAGGUGAGUGAUCAGAAGCCAAAUCGUGUGGUGCGCUCCUUAUUUAGGGAUGAACUACCUUUAAAAGUUGGUUCUUCUGCCAAUAAAAGCUUGCAGUCAUCCCAUACUGAUGAGGGAUUGGUAAUGGAGAAUGAACUAAUUGUGAACGAGUCACUUCAUGGUCAGCAUCUUGAAUUUGCUGAGUCUUCAAAAGUUGCUGAUAAACACGAUAAUAGUAUUAAGGACAAAGUUAGAGAAACGAUGGAGAAGGCUUUCUGGGAUAGUGUCAUGGAAUCCAUGAAAAAGGAUGAAAAUAGAUACAAUCGAGUUGUUGAUCUAAUGAGAGAAGCAAGAGAUGAACUUUGUAGUUUGGCUCCUCAGAGUUGGAGACAAAAGAUUAGUGAAGCUAUAGAUAUAGACAUCCUCUCUCAGUUGUUGAUCACAGGCAAAAUCGACAUGGAUUAUCUUCAAAAGAUCAUGGAUUUCACAUUGGUCACUUUGCAGAAACUAUCCUCUCCAGCUAAGGAGGAUGAGCUAAAAGCAAAUUGUCAGAAGUUAUUUGGAGAACUAGCUGAUAUAUGUGUGGAUGGGUCAGAGAAUUCAUUUAUCCUGGCACUAGUUAGGGGUUUGCGUUUUGUACUGGAAGAGAUGCAGCUGCUGAAACAAGAAAUAAGCAAGGCAAGGAUUAGAAUGUUGGAACCAAUUCUCAAGGGACCUGGAGCUUUAGAUUAUUUGAGGAAAGCUUUCACCAAGCGUUAUGGUCUUCCUUCUAUGGCUAUGACCGCCUUACCCUUGACAUGGCAAUGGCUUUUAUCUGUCUCAGAUUCCAUGGACCAGGAAUUUAAUGAACACAAGGAGGCUCUAUCCAGCCUGACAAGUGGACAAGAUCGUUUCCUUCCUUCUGCCACCCUUAGAACUGGAGGAUGCUUUUCAGUUAAAAUGAAUAAAAAUCAUGCUUCACCUUUGACCUCUACAGAAGCUGUAGAUGAAUGCCAAGAAUGCACGGGGGACAAAGUUGAUUUAUUGGUGAGGCUGGGCUUGUUAAAGUUGGUGUGUGCGGUAUCUGGUCUUACGCAAGAAGGGUUGCCUGAAACUCUGCAGCUGAAUUUUUUUAGACUAAGGGCUACUCAGGCAAAAAUCCAAAAGAUCAUCGUAAUAGCUACCAGCAUUCUAGUCCAAAGACAGGUUCUUCAGAGUAUGCAAGCAGUAUCAAGCGCUGCAGAUAUGGAUAAAAUUGUUCAAGGAAGCGCCAAAGCUCUUUCUGAGCUCCUUGACUCCAACAAUGAUGCUGGUAUUCAAGAGAUCAUCUCGACACUUGUCAAACCUUUGGAGCAUGGCGACAAUGGUACUGAUGAGAUGAAGCUUCAGCAGAUCAAGGAGAUCAUGGCAAGGAUGUUAUCCAAGAGCCUGCAAGCUGGGGAUGCUAUUUUUGUGCAUGUAGCCAGGGCAAUAUAUUUGGCUGGAAGGGGAGUUGUACUUGGAGGAACUGGAAGACAAGGAAGAGAAUUGGCUGAAGCGGCUCUACGGCAGGUGGGAGUAGCUGUUCUAAUUGACGAGAUUGUGGAUGCCACCUCUGUAUUGGUUAUGGCAGCACAUGUGACGGUGAAUGUUCAUGGUCCUUGGUAUGCACAGUUAGUAGAUAAUAUGUGAAGCUUUUUAACAUUCUUUUGUAAAUAUCAGGGCAUGUAGUUAUUAUUCUGUAUUAUCUAGCUGUGAAACUCAGUCGAGUGUUGUUAUUGUAGUAAUGUGACUGGAAACCUAGAAAAUGUAGAUAUUUGCUAAAAUAAGAGUUAAAUAUAAACGCUUGCUUGUAUAUGCAUGCUAAGUUUGAGAAAUAAUUUGAAUGCUGAU